UAUUAAAGUUGCUGCAGUUAAAAAGCUCGUAGUUGAAUUUCGGGGUCAAUAUGUUGGUCGUGCCUUGGUACGUACUGAUUUUAUUGGUUUCUCCCUUCUGACGAACCAUGAUGUCAUUAAUUUGGUGUCGUGAAGAAUCAGGACUGUUACUUUGAAAAAAUUAGAGUGUUUAAAGCAGGCUCGCGCUUGAAUACAUUAGCAUGGAAUAAUGAAAUAGGACAUUUGAUUCUAUUUUGUUGGUUUCUAGGAUCGAUGUAAUGAUUAAUAGGGAUAGUUGGGGGCAUUAGUAUUCAAUUGUCAGAGGUGAAAUUCUUGGAUUUAUUGAAGACUAACUACUGCGAAAGCAUUUGCCAAGGAUGUUUUCAUUAAUCAAGAACGAAAGUUAGGGGAUCGAAGACGAUCAGAUACCGUCGUAGUCUUAACCAUAAACUAUGCCGACUAGGGAUCGGAUGAUGUUAAUUUUUUAAUGACUCAUUCGGCGCCUUAUGGG
rnacentral:rRNA from 1 species